ACAUGAAUCACCUGAGGAUCCUGUUAAAAUGCAGAUUCUGGUUCAGUCUGGGAUGGGGCCUGAGAUUCUGCAUUUCUGACAAGCUCUCAGUGAUGCUUAC
rnacentral:pre_miRNA from 1 species